rnacentral:rRNA from 1 species
GACGAACGCUGGCGGCGUGCCUAACACAUGCAAGUCGAACGGAACUGCUUUGAAAGAUUCUUCGGAUGAUUGAGAUUCAGUCUAGUGGCGGACGGGUGAGUAACGCGUGAGUAACCUGCCUUCGAGAGGGGAAUAACGUUCUGAAAAGAUCGCUAAUACCGCAUGACAUAUUGAAAUCGCAUGGUUUUGAUAUCAAAGAUUUAUCGCUCGAAGGUGGACUCGCGUCCGAUUAGUUAGUUGGUGAGGUAACGGCUCACCAAGACCGCGAUCGGUAGCCGGACUGAGAGGUUGAACGGCCACAUUGGGACUGAGACACGGCCCAG